GGUUGUGAUAGAGGAGGUAGGGUGUGGUUGUGAUAGAGGAGGUAGGUGAUAGAGGAGGUAGUGUGUGGUUGUGAUAGAGGAGGUAGGGUGUGGUUGUGAUAGAGGAGGUAAUGUGUGGUUGUGAUAGAGGAGGUAGUGUGUGGUUGUGAUAGAGGAGGUAGGUGAUAGAGGAUAUAGUGUGUGAUUGUGAUAGAGGAGAUAGUGUGUGGUUGUGAUAGAAGAGGUAGGGUGUGGUUGUGAUAGAGGAAGUAGGGUGUGGUUGUGAUAGAGGAGGUAGGGUGUGGUUGUGAUAGAGGAGGUAGGGUGUGGUUGUGAUAGAGGAGGUAGGGUGUGGUUGUGAUAGAGGAGGUAGUGUGUGAUUGUGAUAGAGGAAGUAGGGUGUGGUUGUGAUAGAGGAGGUAGGGUGUGGUUGUGAUAGAGGAGGUAGGGUGUGGUUGUGAUAGAGGAGGUAGUGUGUGGUUGUGAUAGAGGAAGUAGUGGUGUGUGUUCCUGUGGUUCUGCUGAUGGGUCUGGUCAGGCAUAAGAUCACAUUGGUUCCUCUGUCCGAACCACAAAGCGGAUUCUAGAGAUAGCAGACAUCAGUCAAUGUGUCACAAGUGGCACCAUAUUCCCUAUGUGGAGCACAUUGUUUGAACAGAGUCCUAUGGCCCUGCGAUAGACUGGCGCCUUGUCCUGGUUUGUUCCUGUACAUCGAGCUGCCUAACGCUAGAGACAGCAGAUAGACUCCU
rnacentral:lncRNA from 1 species